GAUAUUUCUUCAAUAAUUAUUAAAAAUAAAAUUACAAUAUAAAAUUGGUAUAGAAUAAUAUAAAGAUUAAAAUUAAAAUAUUUUCAAUGUUUAUAUAUAUAUAUAUAUAAUUCAAAUGAAUGAUGAAUUGAAUAAUGCCAUUUAGUUAAAAUACAUAAUUAUAUAUUUGAAGUUGGUAAUACUACAUCGUUCAUUUUUUAAAAGAAUUUUCAAAUGUGAUUAUUUCUGCGUAUUUACGAAUUAAUGAUAUGCAUCAUUAUUUAAGGUCAUCAGCUCUAGGCUUACAACCAGUUAAUUUUUCAAUAAUGAUUUCUAAAAUAUACCAAAACCGGAGUUUCUCUAAUGGCCAAUUUAACCAGCCAGUAGUAAUGCAAAAAUAUGUUUCAUGCGGUGCAACAUGAUGUACACGAUGGUGUUUUCUUGGUAAAAUUACUCUAUGUUCCUGUAGCCAAACUACCCAAGGAGGAAGUCCGAAAUAUAAUGGGAAGUUCGACAGAACCCCAUGUAUCAGCAGCCCAAUGAACUACUCCAGAUCCAAAAUCCGCCGUGAUGAUUCCGCAUAAUGCUGCUACUAUUAUCGAACUUAAAUUUUCAAGUUUUAAUCUGACCAAGAUGAACAAUGAAUUUACUGCUACCAGCGUGAUACAAAUACCAACGCAUAUACAUUCCUGCGUUCUUUUUCCUGAUAUAAAAAAGAUCCAACAAGACGAUAUUUGUUAUAAAGAAGAAGAAUAGAGGAAAGAUUGUGAUCAUUAAACAAGUUUUUAAAAAAUACAAGAUAUUCUUUUUAAAUGAAUAAUCAAAAUCCAUCGAUAAUCGGAUAGACGUUUCGAUUUUGUAUUUUUUUUCUUUUUUUCCUUUACAACGUCACGUCAUGUUAGAGAUUUAAGCGAGCGGACAAGGCAACGGAGGCGCCAAAACGUCUGUGCCGGAUUUGAGAGUGCGCACGUGCCGCCGAAAAGUGGGUUAAUUUCUUGCUCGCACGAGCUUUAAGAAUGACGAGAAGAGUACUAUAUCCUUUAUUACCUCGAUGAUUCUUCUCUUUGUUCCUUCAGGAACGAGUGAACGAAGUAAUUCGGAAGAAUCCUCGAGUGCAUCAUCUCUUACCAUAUCUGCGGACGUUAACCUUGUUCAUACUCUCAUUCUCUCUUUCUCUCUUUUUCUUUUCUUUUCUCUCGUGUUACACAGACGACGAGUAGGUAAAAGAUAAUUCAUUGUGACCCUGCCAACGAGAACAAAUUCUCCAACGUGUGAGUUAAUCGAGCUUAUUUUAGAUAUUUCUGGUUUUUUCUUUUUCUUUUUCUUUUUUUCUUUCUUUUUUCUUUUUUUUUUUUUUAGGUUGAAGUGUCAAAAAAGAAAAUUGAUGUAUUAUCAAAAUAACGAACACGAUCUAAGGAUUGAUCGUGGAGACACAGGCACAGACAUUCUUUAAAGUAUAGUGAUGUCAUCCUUUGAUGUCCAUCGUUUUAUUGAAUGAACUCAUUUCAUGAAUCAAACGAACAUCUCUUUGGAAAAUCCAUGUAUGGAAGAAAGCAAAAGGUUCACAAAGUGUGAGAAAGAUAAGAAGAGAGAGAGGAGAGAGAAAGAGAGAGAGAGAGAGAGAAAAAGAGAGAGAAAAACAGAGAGAGAAAAAAGAGAGAAAAGAAAGCAGGUGGUUGAGAAAGACCGGCACUGAGAAUCAAUUUAAAAAUGCUGGACUGUCGCGUGCGUUACUGAUUCUUAUACGACGGCACCAGCAGACUCGCGUGACGUGACUGACGCGCGCUCGUCUCUUUCUCACACACAGAUACACAACACACGCAACACGAGAAUAAUGACGCGAUUCCUUCGAAUGAAGAAGGGCGUACCCGUGACAGUGCGACGAUUCUUAUUGUUGAAUUUGAAGGAACUUCUUCUCGUAGAGGAAGAAAGUUCGACGAGUUAUCCUUCGAAGAAAUAGACGUAGUUGUCGUAACGGUAAAAUAAAUAUCCUUCCUUUCGUUGAUAUCUUCGAGACAAGUGUGCCCGAAGCCGGCUCCACGAUGCACAUGUACGCAUACGGGGUGGCAUGCGUCGAGUAAUAUACUUUUCUGUCGCGAAAUACGGUACCGGCGAGCGCGUCCGGGAGUAGAAGAGCCGCCUAGAUGCGUGCUAUUUGUAAGACGAACGUCGGACGAAAAGGGCGAAGGACGUAAGCGAUUCCCAGAUAGAAAGAGAGUCAGAAAGAGGAAAAAGGACGGAACGUACGUGCGUGUGCAAGGAGAGAUAGAUGGAAAGAUAAAGAUAGCGAUAUGUGUGUGUGUGUGUGUGUGUAUAUAUAUAGAUAGAUAGAUAGAUAGAUAGAUAGAUAGAUAGAUAGAUAGAAAAGAGAAAUAUAUAUAUAUAUAUAUAUAUAUAUAUAUUUAUAAAAAUAGUGGAAAGAGUGAGAGAAAAAAAGAGAAAGGAAGAGGAAAUUUAGAACGGCAAAGAACCAAAUGCGAGAUUGAUUAAAUAGAAAAAGGACCACGAUAGCGAUUUGGGAGGGACGGUAAAGAUGAUGAGAGGUCGAAGAGUAGCGCGGCAAGCUUCGACGCCGAGGAUUGUGCCACUGCCGACGGAGACGGAGGCGCUGCUUUCGCUUUCGUUCGUUCUUGUCUACGGUGGAGGCGGUGGUGGUAACGGCGACGGCGGCGGUGACGGCGGCAACGGCAGUUGCUACUGCUGCUUUUCCUGUUUCUCCUGCUCUCCCUCAAGCACCUCCCGUCUUUCGGAUUAGACUUUCGAGCGGUCUAAAACUCGAACGAGCGCGCCUCUUGCACUCUUUGUUCCUCUAACCCCACCCUUCCUACCCGCACUUUUAUCGUUCGCGGUUUACUCGACGAUCGGUGUCUUUCGGCAAAAUUCGCCUUCUUUCGUUUCCGCAACGGGCGAGACCGGAGCUGUCCGAUUGCGAUGCUCCUGCGCGACGCACUAUGCUUCCACCCAUUGGGGUGACACGUUCUUACCGUCUUCAUUUUCUUUUUCCUCCUCUCCUCGCAAUCGAACUGCUUCGAAACAAUUACGUGUAACACCGUUUACAGAUCAUGCCGUUAUUGAUCCUUCUUCCUAUUUCUAAAUAACUUUCGAUGUAUCUUUCUUUGUCUUUCAAUGUUCUAAAUCACGAAACGUUCCAACACAUAUUUAUUUUCUGUACUGUUUUUAAUUAUACAAGUUAUGUUUCAAUAAUAUUGUGAUUACAUUUAAACACAAUUUUUUUUUACAGAUUUAAAUAUAAAUCUAUGCUUUCAUUAUUAUCUAGAAAUAAUAUUUAUUUUUUGUUCUUAAAAAUAUUCGUAUGAAAUUUUAAUGAUAUAUAUGAAAAACUAUUUAACGUUGAUUGAAAUUUAAAUAUAUUAUAAGAUUGUACAUUUGGUUGAUCUGAGAUAUAGAAAAUUUAUAAGUUUUUCUAUUCAUUCACUUGGUCACGAAAGUUACAAUAUAAUUCUUCGCACUUACAUUAGACAAUAAUCUUUCUUUGUGUUACCCUCCAAAUGGCCUUCAAGUUUCACCGCAAAAGAAAGCCGAAGAAGCUACAUAAUUUAUCGGCCGUCCGCGCGUAUCGGACUACAGCGUGAAAAGCAUCACAUGACUCGAUGGCCAUUUCGUCUAGGACACUUGCUGUUUCGCAGAAUGCUCAUACUUUAUUUAAUAUACGAUCGACCAUGCAACCAACCCUAACUUUUAACUCCCCGUCUAUGUUAGAAGAUACACGUCGUCUUACGUUCGCCGACCUUACAGGAAAACGAACUCUCUUUCAUAUCAACAUUUUAUUAGACGAAGAACAAAAUUGAAAACUUCUUAAGAAUUAAUCGUAUUGUAAAUAUUUUAAUUAUAUAUAUAUAUAUAUAUAUAUAAACUCCGAAGAUAUAUAUAUAUAAACUCCGAAGAUUAUUUAUAUGUAUUCGCUUUUAUUACAUAUUCGUUAUAUAUGUACGGUGGAAAGGGAGGUGACCUUUGACAUCCUGUACACAAGGAAACUCAUUUCUAUCGAUGUCAAUUUUAUUCUUCAAAGGAAUAAUAAACGAGCUCUGUCUCUAAACAACAAAAGUCGAUACUUGAGACUUGCAUAUUUAUAAGUAAAUUAAUUAGAUAGAUUUUCUAUAAGUAUAUUAUAAGAAAGUACUCUAUGCGAAUAGUUUGUAUUUAUAAAUACAUAGUUACGUAUAAUGAAUGCGAGAUAAAAUCAUUAGUUAGUAACAUAUAUAUAUAUAGAAUACGCAUUUGAUUAUGCGAUGAAUUAUAUUCAUUCUACUUGCUCGUAUGUGUAUAGAGAGAGAGAGAUCAAGACAUAAAAAACGCGUAUAUUUGAACGUAAGAACAUGCGAAUCCUACUUUCAUUCUCGUCUAUUAACACCAUUACAAUAGUCACGAAGAUAACAUCGACAAUUUUAAUUUGAGAUGAUUAUGUAAAAUGUCGUUUUAGAUCAUGAACUAAUGUUAUAGGAGUACAAAACCAAUGUGUCCUUAUCGCUAUGACGUUAUAGCUUGCAUUUCUAAGAUAAACACUUGUUUCAUUUCUGAAAAAUCGUGAAAUAAAGAGUUGGCAAAUAUAAUUAUAUGAGAGAAACAAAUAAAGAAAUUAAUUAAUCUGUGAAUUUAAA